UACGUAGGGGGCUAGCGUUGUCCGGAAUCAUUGGGCGUAAAGAGCGUGUAGGCGGUCCGGUAAGUCCGCUGUGAAAGUCGGGGGCUCAACCCUCGGAUGCCGGUGGAUACUGUCGGGCUAGAGUGCGGGAGAGGCGAGUGGAAUUCCUGGUGUAGCGGUGAAGUGCGCAGAUAUCAGGAGGAACACCCGUGGCGAAAGCGGCUCUCUGGGACGGUACUGACGCUGAGACGCGAAAGCGUGGGGAGCAAACAGG
rnacentral:rRNA from 1 species